rnacentral:rRNA from 1 species
CCUACGGGUGGCUGCAGUGGGGAAUAUUGGACAAUGGGGGCAACCCUGAUCCAGCCAUGCCGCGUGUGUGAAGAGGGCCCUCGGGUUGUAAAGCACUUUCAGUGAGGAAGAACGCCUGGUGGUUAAUACCCAUCAGGAAAGACAUCACUCACAGAAGAAGCACCGGCUAACUCCGUGCCAGCAGCCGCGGUAAUACGGAGGGUGCGAGCGUUAAUCGGAAUUACUGGGCGUAAAGCGCGCGUAGGUGGCUUGAUAAGCCGGUUGUGAAAGCCCCGGGCUCAACCUGGGAACGGCAUCCGGAACUGUCAAGCUAGAGUGCAGGAGAGGAAGGUAGAAUUCCCGGUGUAGCGGUGAAAUGCGUAGAGAUCGGGAGGAAUACCAGUGGCGAAGGCGGCCUUCUGGACUGACACUGACACUGAGGUGCGAAAGCGUGGGUAGCAAACAGGAUUAGAUACCCUUGUAGUC